UAAUAAAUUGAAGGUUUCUAUUAAAUUGUAGUUGUAGCCGGAUCUGACUUUUAAAUUGGGGAAACACACCAAACCCUAAUUCUGUAUCGAUGGCGAUCAAGUUUUAUUCUUUUUCUCUGGAACUGGAUCUCCCUUCGCAACCAACAUAACUUCGUCGAUAUCCAAGCUCUUACAAUUUUCUUUUAUUGCACAUUUCCCGUCUAAAUCGCACCUGACAGAAAAAAGAAGCCGCCGUUCCUGUAUUUGAGUAUUUUACUGUGAUGGAAGAACCGGCAAAGUUGCAAACUAUAUUAUCAAUUCAAAGUUUCAAACGAAGAAAGAGGAAAGAUGAGGACGAACACAUGAUGCGGUGGCAGUGGAGAAAACAAGGAGAAUGAGUAGGAGUUUAUGAAAAUUAGAGUUCAUGGCUGAAUUGAAGAAAAGGUGAGGUUGAAGAGAUGUUGGAUUUAAGUUUUAAGGGGGUAGUGAGAGAGGAGAGGGUGAUAUUGUUGGGAGUUGGAAGGUGGAAGAGUGCAUAUAUGCCUAACAAUAUAAAUAGUUAAAUACAUGCAUACCGCACUCAACUAUCCUUAUCUCAUCACUCCUCUUUUUUCAUUUUUUUUCAACAGUUUAUACUCCUACUUUAUAAUGACUGUCAAAUUUUGGGCAUAAUGUGAUAGACGAAAUAUGAUGUCAAUGUACAAGAAAGAUGCAGUAUAUGUGUUGAAUUUUGGUCAUGGCAGAAUUUGCCAGAAAAAAUUAGGUAUGCUUGUAAAAUCGUUAUGAGUGCUGAUGUAUUUGAAAUGAUUUGAGUUCUAAGAUGACUUGAAUACAUUUUUAAGGUUGUUUGACUUUUCACUUUGCAUCA